CAGCCGCCGCGGGAACACCGGGGGGGGCGAGCGUUGUCCGAAGUUACUGGGCGUAAAGCGCGUGUAGGCGGGUUGUUAAGUCCGCUGUGAAAGCCCGGUGCUCAACGCCGGAGGGUCGGUGGAUACUGGCAGUCUUGUAGUGGCUAGGGGGAAAUGGAAUUACCGGUGUAGCGGUGAAAUGCGUAGAUAUCGGUAGGAACACCAGUGGCGAAGGCGGUUUCCUGGAGCUAACUUGACGCUGAGACGCGAAAGCUGGGGGAGCAAACGGGAUUAGAUACCCCGGUAGUCCCUGUCUCUUAUU
rnacentral:rRNA from 1 species